UCUGGUUGAUCCUGCCGGCGGGCACCGCUAUGGGAGUUCGCUUAAGACAUGCGAGUCGAGAGGUGCAAGACCUCGGCGGACGGCUCAGUAACACGCGGAUAAUCUGCCCUCGGGUGGAGGAUACUCUCGGGAAACUGAGGAUAAUACUCCAUAGACCUGGGAUGCUGGAACGCUUCCAGGUCGAAAGCUCCGGCGCCCGAGGAUGGGUCUGCGGCCUAUCAGCUUGUAGGGGGUUUUAAAGACCCCCUAGGCUUCGACGGGUACGGGCUAUGGGAGUAGUCGCCCGGAGAUGGAUUCUGAGACACGAAUCCAGGCCCUACGGGGCGCAGCAGUCGCGAAAACUCCGCAAUGUGGGCAACCACGACGGGGGAACUCCCAGUGCGAACACUUUGUGUUCGCUGUUCUCGUGCCUAAAAAGCACGAGAAGUAAGGGCCGGGUAAGACGGGUGCCAGCCGCCGCGGUAAUACCCGCGGCCCGAGUGGUGCUCAUUAUUAUUGAGUCUAAAACGUCCGUAGCCGGUCAGGUAGAUUCCUGGGUAAAUCCAACCGCUCAACGGUUGGAACUCCGGGGAGACCGCCUGACUAGGGACCGGGAGAGGCGCGAGGUACUCCUGGGGUAGGGGUAAAAUCCUGUAAUCCUGGGAGGACCACCAGUGGCGAAGGCGUCGCGCUAGAACGGAUCCGACGGUCAGGGACGAAGCCCAGGGGCGCAAACGGGAUUAGAUACCCCGGUAGUCCUGGGUGUAAACGCUGCAGGCUUGGUGUCGGGGGUCCUACGGGGGCGCCCGGUGCCGGAGCGAAGGUGUUAAGCCUGCUACUUGGGGAGUACGGUCGCAAGACUGAAACUUAAAGGAAUUGGCGGGGGAGCA
rnacentral:rRNA from 1 species